CUACCCUUGACAUGGCAGGAAUCCCGAAGAGAUUUGGGAGUGCUCGAAAGAGAACCUGCACACAGGUGCUGCAUGGCUGCCGUCAGCUCGUGUCGUGAGAUGUUGGGUUAAGUCCCGCAACGAGCGCAACCCUUGUCCUUAGUUGCUACGCAAGAGCACUCUAAGGAGACUGCCGGUGACAAACCGGAGGAAGGUGGGGAUGACGUCAAGUCCUCAUGGCCCUUAUGGGUAGGGCUUCACACGUGCUACAAUGGUCGGUACAAAGGGUUGCCAAGCCGCGAGGUGGAGCUAAUCCCAUAAAACCGAUCGUAGUCCGGAUCGCAGUCUGCAACUCGACUGCGUGAAGUCGGAAUCGCUAGUAAUCGCCGGUCAGCCAUACGGCGGUGAACCCGUUCCC
rnacentral:rRNA from 1 species